rnacentral:rRNA from 1 species
AUACGGAGGAUGCGAGCGUUAUCCGGCUUUAUUGGGUUUAAAGGGUGCGUAGGCGGUCGGGUAAGCGUAGGGUGAAAGUCCUCGGCUCAACAGAGGAAGUGCCUUCCGAACUGUCCGACUGGAAUGCUCCUGCCGUGGGAGGAAUGUGUGGUGUAGCGGUGCAAUGCAUAGAGAUCACACAGAACACCGAUUGCGAAGGCAUCUCACGAAGGGGCUAUUGACGCUGAGGCACGAAAGCGUGGGGAUCAAACAGGAUUAGAUACCCUGGUAGUCCACGCAGUAAACGAUGAUGACUAACCGUCGGUCAAGACUGAUCGGUGGCCAAGCGAAAGCGAUAAGUCAUCCACCUGGGGAGUACGACCGCAAGGUUGAAACUUAAAGGAAUUGACGGGG